AGAAAAAUUAAAAGGAGAUUAGCGAAAGUGAAAAAGCAUAACACGUUUUCAAGUUCUUUGCUUCAGACUGAAACACAAGCGUGUAAUCCAAUACCUUGAAUCUAACCAAAGCUAUAUUGCUUCAAUCGUACAAUAUUGUUUAAUUAAAAAAAAAUUUAAGUACAACUUUCAAUUUUUCAUCAUCAUACUUUUUUUUUCUUUAAUGUGGACUACUUUUUAUAUUAUCAUCAAAUAUAGUUUAUAAAUUGCAAUUGUACUCUUUCCUUUCUUGGGACAUGGUGGUGCCUGUGUAAUCUGGUGGAUGAGUUUUUUUUUUUAUUGCUGUAAAAAAAAAAAGGAUUAAAUUGGAUAAGGACGAAUAAAGUGUAAUAAUAUCAUCGGACGGUUGUGGUUUUCCCGGUGGUCCUACGACGGAGCCGCCAAGUUUUGCGGCUGUAAUAGGCUAUGGCUGAGAGUACGGUAUACCUGAUCUGUUUCUAUUAUGAUGCUACAAGGCCCACGUUUGUAUGAAACUGUGAGGUACGUUUGGAUACAGCGACAUGUAUGAUGUUAUUAUGUUUAUAAUGUUUAUGUAUGGACCCUUAUUUUAAAUUAACAAUUAGUCAAAUGAGUCAUGAAGAUUAUUAUU